GCUUCUGGUGCAAGGAGAUUCUCCGCCUCAUGCUUCUGUUAUCCUCCGUUUGCCGACCCAAAUAUUAAUUAGAGAGCGAGAAAUUGUCCUGCGCAGAAGAAUGAGAUCUACUUCACCAGAAGCGUUUUGCUUUUCUUGAUUAAUCUGCCCAAGGAUUUCUAGCUACAGCUAAACAUGCCAGUUUGAAGAUGACAAUAGCAAAGAUAGUAUAUAGCUUUUGGGAUCCAGUCAUAUCUACAGCCUGAUUACCCAGCAAAAAACUAUACACGAUCAUCUGCAAUUGCAGAAUUUCAAGUUUUUAAUUUAUUUAUCCAUAAAAGGAUCAUAGCUACUAUGGAAGUUCAAAACUUGCUUUUAGCGGUUUGUCCAGACUUAUCAGUCCCAUUGGAUAGAUAUGGAAAACAAUCAUGCCUUAUUAAGUCACCUCAAUUGCCUUCUCCAUCCUAUUGUUCUUUCAUUCAGUUCCAGAAACUGGCAUCUAAGGGAGCCUGUAACUGUAUUACCUACAAAGUGUCU